rnacentral:pre_miRNA from 1 species
AUUCGUAGCUCAUGAUGAUGAAGAUGAAGAACCUAACAUAGAUUCAUAAAACUUUUUUGAAUCUAUGUUAGGUUCUUCAUCUUCAUCAUCAUGAGCU